GUGGGGAAUUUUGGACAAUGGGCGCAAGCCUGAUCCAGCAAUGCCGCGUGCAGGAAGAAGGCCUUCGGGUUGUAAACUGCUUUUGUACGGAACGAAACGGUCCGGGUUAAUACCCUGGGCUAAUGACGGUACCGUAAGAAUAAGCACCGGCUAACUACGUGCCAGCAGCCGCGGUAAUACGUAGGGUGCAAGCGUUAAUCGGAAUUACUGGGCGUAAAGCGUGCGCAGGCGGUUUUGUAAGACAGGCGUGAAAUCCCCGGGCUCAACCUGGGAAUUGCGACUGUGACUGCAAGGCUGGAGUGCGGCAGAGGGGGAUGGAAUUCCGCGUGUAGCAGUGAAAUGCGUAGAUAUGCGGAGGAACACCGAUGGCGAAGGCAAUCCCCUGGGCCUGCACUGACGCUCAUGCACGAAAGCGUGGGGAGCAAACAGGAUUAGAUACCCGGGUAGUCC
rnacentral:rRNA from 1 species